CAGCCGCCGCGGUAAUACAGAGGGUGCGAGCGUUAAUCGGAUUUACUGGGCGUAAAGCGUGCGUAGGCGGCUUUUUAAGUCGGAUGUGAAAUCCCUGAGCUUAACUUAGGAAUUGCAUUCGAUACUGGGAAGCUAGAGUAUGGGAGAGGAUGGUAGAAUUCCAGGUGUAGCCGUGAAAUGCGUAGAGAUCUGGAGGAAUACCGAUGGCGAAGGCAGCCAUCUGGCCUAAUACUGACGCUGAGGUACGAAAGCAUGGGGAGCAAACAGGAUUAGAUACCCCAGUAGUCCCUGUCUCUUAUAC
rnacentral:rRNA from 1 species